UACAGAGGUCCCAAGCGUUGUUCGGAUUCACUGGGCGUAAAGGGUGCGUAGGCGGUCGGGUAAGUCUGAUGUGAAAUCUCUCAGCUUAACUGUGAAACUGCAUUGGAUACUAUUCGGCUAGAGAGUUGGAGGGGGGACUGGAAUUCUUGGUGUAGCAGUGAAAUGCGUAGAUAUCAAGAGGAACACCAGUGGCGAAGGCGAGUCCCUGGACAACUUCUGACGCUGAGGCACGAAAGCUAGGGGAGCAAACAGG
rnacentral:rRNA from 1 species